GUAGAUAUAUAUCAAUUAGUUAGAUUACUUGGCUGUGAACCGAGUGGCUGUGGGUGCAAAUCCCACUAUCUACCCCA
rnacentral:tRNA from 2 species